rnacentral:pre_miRNA from 1 species
UGACGCUCCUCUCCCAGCCAUACUCGGCUGCCACGCGGCAGCCGAGUGAGGGCCUCGGGAUGGCGC